UACGUAGGGUGCGAGCGUUGUCCGGAAUUAUUGGGCCUAAAGAGCUUGUAGGCGGUUUGUCGCGUCUGCUGUGAAAAUCCGGGGCUCAACCCCGGACUUGCAGUGGGUACGGGCAGACUAGAGUGUGGUAGGGGAGACUGGAAUUCCUGGUGUAGCGGUGAAAUGCGCAGAUAUCAGGAGGAACACCGAUGGCGAAGGCAGGUCUCUGGGCCACUACUGACGCUGAGAAGCGAAAGCAUGGGGAGCGAACAGG
rnacentral:rRNA from 1 species